GAGGAUUUGAUCCUGGUCCAGGACGAACGCUGGCGGCGUGGAUAAGGCAUGCAAGUCGAACGGUCCGUCUCUCGCAAGAGAGGCGGAUAGUGGCGAACGAGUUAGUAACACCUUGGUACGUACCCCGAAGUCGGGCAUAAUCCGCCGAAAGGCGGACUAAUUCCCGAUAGUUCCCGCAAGGGUAAAGAAGCAAUUCGCUUUGGGAGCGGCCUAGGUCCGAUCAGCUUGUUGGUAGGGUAACGGCCUACCAAGGCUAUGACCGGUAGGGGAGGUGAGAGCCUGACCCCCAACGACGCAACUGAGACACGGUGCGUACUCCUACGGGAGGCAGCAGUCAAGAACAUUCGACAAUGGACGAAAGUCUGAUCGAGCGACGCCGCGUGCAGGAUGACACCCUUCGGGGCGUAAACUGCUUUUUUUGGGGAGAAAGUCCGCCUUAGGCGGAUUGAUAGUACCCAUAGAAUAAGGAGCUGCAAACCUCGUGCCAGCAGCCGCGGUAAUACGAGGGCUUCAAGCGUUGUCCGGAUUUAUUGGGCGUAAAGGGCGCGUAGGGGGUUUCAUGCGUCUCUUGUUAAAUCCCGAGGCUUAACUUCGGGGCUGCAAGGGAUACGAUGAGACUAGAGGACGUUAGAGGCAAGUGGAACGCACGGUGUAGGGGUGAAAUCCGUUGAUAUCGUGCGGAACACCAAAGGCGAAGGCAUCUUGCUGGGACGUUCCUGACCCUGAGGCGCGAAAGCGUGGGUAGCGAAUGGGAUUAGAUACCCCAGUAGUCCACGCCGUAAACGAUGUUCACUGGCUGUCUCGAGUAUCGACCCUCGGGGUGGCGAAGCUAACGCGUUAAGUGAACCGCCUGGGAAGUACGGCCGCAAGGCUAAAACUCAAAGGAAUAGACGGGGACUCGCACAAGCGGUGGAGCAUGUGGUUUAAUUCGAUGGUGCACGAGUAACCUUACCAGGGCUUGAAAUCCCGAUGACGACUUUUCGAAAGGAAAGUUUUCUUCAAGGACAUCGGGACAGGUGCUGCAUGGUUGCCGUCAGCAUGUGCCGUGAGGCGCUCCCUUAAAUGGGGUAACAUGCGCAACCCCUGCCUUGAGUUACAAGUGUCUCAAGGGACUGCCGUCUUAUAGGCGGAGGAAGGCGGGGAUGACGUCAAAUCAGCAUGGCCCUUUGAUGCCCUGGGCGACACACAUACUACAAUGGCUACUAUAACGGGCCGCGAAGUCGCAAGACGGAGCUAAUCUCUUAAAAGUAGCCCCAGUUCGGAUUGGGGUCUGCAACUCGACCCCAUGAAGUUGGAAUCGCUAGUAAUCGCGGAUCAUCAUGCCGCGGUGAAUACGUUCUCGAGUCCUGUACUCACAAGAAUCGCGACUGGCAGCUUAAUAUUCUAAGUGGUUGAAAUCCGCUUCUCUGCGACCGUCGCAGAGCAUAGCCGAAAAAUAGGUCCGACGCCGCGAGGAUCGGACCGGAGGAUUUGGAGGCAAAAGACAGCCCGAGCAAUAAAAGAGCUAACCGACCCAUUAUUGGCGGUGAGGAUGGGGAAGGCUUUGACAACAGCUCGUUUGGGAUGCCUGGAAUAGAAUAUUAAGUAACCCAGUGAGAUCUGACAUGGUAUAAUGUAAUUGACGCCGCGUCAGAAGUCAGCUGAAUCAUAGUAGUUCGAUCUCGGUCGGACGAAGGAUUCACUCAAUGUUAAUGUUAACGGCAGAAUACAUAGUAGGUUUGGUUGACGGUGAAGGUAGUUUUACCGUUUACGUCAAAAACCCGAAAUUGGGAGAAGACGUUAAACGGAGAGCUAGAGCCGAGCCGAGGUUUUAUGUCAAGCUGGUGGAGAAAGAUAAAAAAAUUCUCCACAGCUUAAAAAAUUACUUCGGAUGCGGAAACGUUUAUUUCCAGAAAGAUAAGCGUUCUAAUCAUCAAAACUGUUACCGUUACGAGGUAGCCGGAAGGAGCAAUUUAAGGGAAACAAUAAUUCCGUUUUUCCUUAAAUACCGUCUCAAGUUUCCGUCAAAGCAAAAAGAUUUUAAAAUCUUCUGCAGUUUGAUGAAAAUGAUAGACGCCGGCACUCAUCUCUCUAACGAAGGUUUGCUGAAAAUGUUUAAAUUGAAAGAGAAAAUGCAUUGAGCUCGCGUAGUGCGGGAAAUCCGCUCGCUACGUGGGAACGUCACUGCUGAAUUACCAGUAAACAUUCGCCCGUCACACCAAGGGAGCCGGGAAUACCUGAAACCCAGCCUAGCUGGGCAAGGGUAAGCUCGGUGACACGGGUGAAGUCGUAACAAGGCACGCGUAGCGGAAGCUGUGCGUGGACC
rnacentral:rRNA from 1 species